AUUGAACGCUGGCGGCAGGCCUAACACAUGCAAGUCGAACGGUAACAGGAAGCAGCUUGCUGCUUUGCUGACGAGUGGCGGACGGGUGAGUAAUGUCUGGGAAACUGCCUGAUGGAGGGGGAUAACUACUGGAAACGGUAGCUAAUACCGCAUAACGUCGCAAGACCAAAGAGGGGGACCUUCGGGCCUCUUGCCAUCGGAUGUGCCCAGAUGGGAUUAGCUUGUUGGUGGGGUAACGGCUCACCAAGGCGACGAUCCCUAGCUGGUCUGAGAGGAUGACCAGCCACACUGGAACUGAGACACGGUCCAGACUCCUACGGUAGGCAGCAGUGGGGAAUAUUGCACAAUGGGCGCAAGCCUGAUGCAGCCAUGCCGCGUGUAUGAAGAAGGCCUUCGGGUUGUAAAGUACUUUCAGCGGGGAGGAAGGGAGUAAAGUUAAUACCUUUACUCAUUGACGUUACCCGCAGAAGAAGCACCGGCUAACUCCGUGCCAGCAGCCGCGGUAAUACGGAGGGUGCAAGCGUUAAUCGGAAUUACUGGGCGUAAAGCGCACGCAGGCGGUUUGUUAAGUCAGAUGUGAAAUCCCCGGGCUCAACCUGGGAACUGCAUCUGAUACUGGCAAGCUUGAGUCUCGUAGAGGGGGGUAGAAUUCCAGGUGUAGCGGUGAAAUGCGUAGAGAUCUGGAGGAAUACCGGUGGCGAAGGCGGCCCCCUGGACGAAGACUGACGCUCAGGUGCGAAAGCGUGGGGGAGCAAACAGGAUUAGAUACCCUGGUAGUCCACGCCGUAAACGAUGUCGACUUGGAGGUUGUGCCCUUGAGGCGUGGCUUCCGGAGCUAACGCGUUAAGUCGACCGCCUGGGGAGUACGGCCGCAAGGUUAAAACUCAAAUGAAUUGACGGGGGCCCGCACAAGCGGUGGAGCAUGUGGUUUAAUUCGAUGCAACGCGAAGAACCUUACCUGGUCUUGACAUCCACGGAAGUUUUCAGAGAUGAGAAUGUGCCUUCGGGAACCGUGAGACAGGUGCUGCAUGGCUGUCGUCAGCUCGUGUUGUGAAAUGUUGGGUUAAGUCCCGCAACGAGCGCAACCCUUAUCCUUUGUUGCCAGCGGUCCGGCCGGGAACUCAAAGGAGACUGCCAGUGAUAAACUGGAGGAAGGUGGGGAUGACGUCAAGUCAUCAUGGCCCUUACGACCAGGGCUACACACGUGCUACAAUGGCGCAUACAAAGAGAAGCGACCUCGCGAGAGCAAGCGGACCUCAUAAAGUGCGUCGUAGUCCGGAUUGGAGUCUGCAACUCGACUCCAUGAAGUCGGAAUCGCUAGUAAUCGUGGAUCAGAAUGCCACGGUGAAUACGUUCCCGGGCCU
rnacentral:rRNA from 1 species